UACGAAGGGUGCAAGCGUUGCUCGGAAUUACUGGGCGUAAAGGGUUCGUAGGCGGUUUGUUAAGUCCGUUGUGAAAGCCCUGGGCUCAACCUGGGAAUUGCAGUGGAUACUGGCGAGCUAGAGUGCGGUAGAGGAUGGUGGAAUUCCCGGUGUAGCGGUGAAAUGCGUAGAGAUCGGGAGGAACACCCGUGGCGAAGGCGGCCAUCUGGACCAGCACUGACGCUGAGGCACGAAAGCGUGGGGAGCAAACAGG
rnacentral:rRNA from 1 species